rnacentral:rRNA from 1 species
GACGAACGCUGGCGGCGUGCCUAAUACAUGCAAGUAGAACGCUGAAGGAGGAGCUUGCUUCUCUGGAUGAGUUGCGAACGGGUGAGUAACGCGUAGGUAACCUGCCUGGUAGCGGGGGAUAACUAUUGGAAACGAUAGCUAAUACCGCAUAAGAGUAGAUGUUGCAUGACAUUUGCUUAAAAGGUGCAAUUGCAUCACUACCAGAUGGACCUGCGUUGUAUUAGCUAGUUGGUGGGGUAACGGCUUACCAAGGCGACGAUACAUAGCCGACCUGAGAGGGUGAUCGGCAACACUGGGACUGAGACACGGCCCAGACUCCUACGGGAGGCAGCAGUAGGGAAUCUUCGGCAAUGGACGGAAGUCUGACCGAGCAACGCCGCGUGAGUGAAGAAGGUUUUCGGAUCGUAAAGCUCUGUUGUAAGAGAAGAACGAGUGUGAGAGUGGAAAGUUCACACUGUGACGGUAUCUUACCAGAAAGGGACGGCUAACUACGUG